GCGAUUGCGACUACCACCCUUGAAUCGACUACUACAUAAAUAGCCUGGUUCCCGAGGCCUUCCGAUGUGCAAGCACGAAGGCCAGGCACUCACUGUCGAAUGGAUUCUUCCACUGAUCAAAAUCCAAUAUGGCGGACUCAAUGAUAAUUUUCCAUACAUAUGGAAAGAAGAAACAUAUGAUAGUGGGUGAAAAAAACACCCUCAUAUAUAAUGCUUCAUGAAUAUGCAAAACCAUGCCAACAGUCUACAGACUCCAGAUGGAAAGAGAUGGAAAAGAAUUUCUAAAGGGGUAUUCAAGGACCCAUCCUCCUCCACACUAAUUCAUAUUGGAAGGAAUUGACAUCCAACUUGAAUGAAGAAUUACAGACUUCCAGAACAGGUGCAUCAUGCAGAUCCUUUUAAAAAGGAGAGGCCAGAUCUUCAGAUGACUUUAUUGAAAAUGAGAAAUUUCUGAGUGGAAGUGACGAAUGUGGCAUGCAUACAAGCAGACAUCAGCAUUCCCUCCCUCUUGUUUGUAUCAGAGGUGAGCUUUUUGAGAAAGACUCAUGGAGGAAGUUUGAGAGUGUCAGUUCUCAGAUCAAAAAGUUAGCUAGCAGUAGGAGGAGUAGCAAUUCAUUCCACAGUAUGACAUGAGAAAUACAUGACUAGAAAGACCUUAAAAAGGAGAUUUGGCAUUGUUUCAUGUGGAGAUUAAAGAACCUUCGAAAUAUAUAACACAGACAUGUUUCAGUUACUUGGGGAUAACACUUAUGAGGAAUUUUGCUAACUUUCAGAUUGGAAUGUGUUGCACAAGAAAUGCUUGAUCACAACCCUCUUCUGUUAAAAACCUUUUCCAUGCAAAUAAUUAGUGUAAAUGAAAUUUAGCUAUUUCAUUAGUAAACAUGUUUUCUGCGCAAGUGUGUGUCUUUGACAUUAAAUGCUAUAAUAUUGUCGUAUUCUUAAACAAUGGAAGAUCUCUACUAGUUCUUUCAAAGGAAAGCCAACAACAGGAAUCGAACCUGUUCCUCCAUCGUACAGAUACGAAAGUGUGCACCAUUACACCAUGUUGGCAUACAUUAAGAACUGGUAGCCUUGGAGAGUAAAUAUUACAUUAUUCUGUACAGUUGAUACUGGUUUGUGUGAUAUAUGUAUAUAUAAUGUAUGCCUCAUGUUUGGUAGUCGUCAAUAAAGCAUUUGAAUUGAA